rnacentral:rRNA from 1 species
CUAAGGCUCCAGAGGAAGCCACGGCUAACUCUGUGCCAGCAGCCGCGGUAAUACAGAGGCGGCAAGCGUUGUUCGGAAUUAUUGGGCGUAAAGAGCACGUAGGCGGCCUUGCAAGUCAGUUGUGAAAGCCUUCCGCUUAACGGAAGAGUGCCAGCUGAUACUACAGGGCUUGAGUACGGGAGGGGAGAGUGGAACUUCUGGUGGAGCGGUGAAAUGCGUAGAUAUCAGAAGGAACGCCGGCGGCGAAAGCGACUCUCUGGCCCGAAACUGACGCUGAGUGUGCGAAAGCUAGGGGAGCAAACGGGAUUAGAUACCCCGGUAGUCCUAGCCGUAAA